rnacentral:rRNA from 1 species
GGAUGAGCCCGCGGCCUAUCAGCUUGUUGGUGGGGUGAUGGCCUACCAAGGCGACGACGGGUAGCCGGCCUGAGAGGGUGUCCGGCCACACUGGGACUGAGACACGGCCCAGACUCCUACGGGAGGCAGCAGUGGGGAAUCUUGCACAAUGGGCGAAAGCCUGAUGCAGCGACGCCGCGUGAGGGAUGACGGCCUUCGGGUUGUAAACCUCUUUCGGCAGGGAACAAGCCUGGGGGUUUUCUUCUGGGUGAGGGUACCUGCGGAAGAAGCACCGGCUAACUACGUGCCAGCAGCCGCGGUAAUACGUAGGGUGCGAGCGUUGUCCGGAAUUAUUGGGCGUAAAGAGCUCGUAGGCGGCGUGUCGCGUCGAUUGUGAAAGCCCGGGGCUUAACUCCGGGUCUGCAGUCGAUACGGGCAUGCUCGAGUUCGGCAGGGGAGACUGGAAUUCCUGGUGUAGCGGUGAAAUGCGCAGAUAUCAGGAGGAACACCGGUGGCGAAGGCGGGUCUCUGGGCCGAUACUGACGCUGAGGAGCGAAAGCGUGGGGAGCGAACAGGAUUAGAUACCCUGGUAGUCCACGCCGUAAACGGUGGGCACUAGGUGUGGGCCGCUUUGUGUGGUCUGUGCCGUAGCUAACGCAUUAAGUGCCCCGCCUGGGAGUACGGCCGCAAGGCUAAAACUCAAAGGAAUUGACGGGG